rnacentral:tRNA from 1 species
CCGGCUGGUGGCCGACGACGGGCGGCUGCGCGGAGUCGAGCUCGACACCGGGCGGGUGGUCAACCGCGAGGCGGUGUUCGUCUUCCCGCAGCCGGU